UAGGGAAUCUUCCGCAAUGGACGCAAGUCUGACGGAGCAACGCCGCGUGAGUGAAGAAGGAUUUCGGUUCGUAAAACUCUGUUGUUAGAGAAGAACAGCGCAUAGAGUAACUGUUAUGCGUGUGACGGUAUCUAACCAGAAAGCCACGGCUAACUACGUGCCAGCAGCCGCGGUAAUACGUAGGUGGCAAGCGUUGUCCGGAUUUAUUGGGCGUAAAGCGAGCGCAGGCGGUCAAUUAAGUCUGAUGUGAAAGCCCCCGGCUCAACCGGGGAGGGUAAUUAGGAACUGGUUGACUUGAGUGCAGAAGAGGAGAGUGGAAUUCCAUGUGUAGCGGUGAAAUGCGUAGAUAUAUGGAGGAACACCAGUGGCGAAGGCGACUCUCUGGUCUGUAACUGACGCUGAGGCUCGAAAGCGUGGGUAGCAAACAGG
rnacentral:rRNA from 1 species